rnacentral:rRNA from 1 species
UCAGCAGCCGCGGUAAUACGUAGGGGGCGAGCGUUGUCCGGAUUUACUGGGCGUAAAGAGCGCGUAGGCGGCCUGUUAAGUUGGCUGUGAAAGGUCCCGGCCCAACUGGGAUAAGUCAGCCGAGACUGGCGGGCUUGAGGGCGGUAGAGGAAGGUGGAAUUCCGGGUGUAGUGGUGAAAUGCGUAGAUAUCCGGAGGAACACCGGUGGCGAAGGCGGCCUUCUGGGCCGUACCUGACGCUGAGGCGCGAAAGCGUGGGGAGCGAACUGAAUUAGAUACUCAGGUAGUCCACGCCCUAAACUAUGGACGCUAGGUGUAGGGGGUAUCGACCCCUCCUGUGCCGAAGCUAACGCAUUAAGCGUCCCGCCUGGGGAGUACGGCCGCAAGGCUAAAACUCAAAGGAAUUGACGGGGGCCCGCACAAGG